UACGUAGGCAGCGAGCGUUGUUCGGAGUUACUGGGCGUAAAGGGUGUGUAGGCGGUUGUUUAAGUUUGGGGUGAAAUCUCCCGGCUCAACUGGGAGGGUGCGCCGAAUACUGAAUGACUUCGAGUGCGGGAGAGGAGAGUGGAAUUCCUGGUGUAGCGGUGAAAUGCGUAGAUAUCAGGAGGAACACCGGUGGUGUAGACGGCUCUCUGGACCGUAACUGACGCUGAGACACGAAAGCGUGGGUAGCAAACGGG
rnacentral:rRNA from 1 species